rnacentral:rRNA from 1 species
GAUGAACGCUGGCGGCGUGCUUAACACAUGCAAGUCGAACGAUGAAGCCCAGCUUGCUGGGUGGAUUAGUGGCGAACGGGUGAGUAACACGUGAGUAACCUGCCCUUAACUCUGGGAUAAGCCUGGGCAACUGGGACUAAUACCGGAUAGGAGCGUCCACCGCCUGGUGGGAGCUGGAAAGAUUUAUCGGUUUUGGAUGGACUCGCGGCCUAUCAGCUUGUUGGUGAGGUAAUGGCUAACCAAGGCGACGACGGGUAGCCGGCCUGAGAGGGUGACCGGCCACACUGGGACUGAGACACGGCCCAGACUCCUACGGGAGGCAGCAGUGGGGAAUAUUGCACAAUGGGCGCAAGCCUGAUGCAGCGACGCCGCGUGAGGGAUGACGGCCUUCGGGUUGUAAACCUCUUUCAGUAGGGAAGAAGCGAAAGUGACGGUACCUGCAGAAGAAGCACCGGCUAACUACGUG